rnacentral:rRNA from 1 species
GACGCUGGCGGCGUGCUUAACACAUGCAAGUCGAACGAGGAUUUAAGGGAAUGAGAUUCGUCGAAUGAACUUAAAUCCGAGUGGCGGACGGGUGAGUAACGCGUGGGUAACCUGCCUUACACAGGGGGACAACAGUUGGAAACGGCUGCUAAUACCGCAUAAAAUGGCAGUUUCGCAUGAAACAACCAUCAAAGAUUUAUCGGUGUAAGAUGGACCCGCGUCUGAUUAGCUGGUUGGUGAGGUAAAGGCUCACCAAGGCGACGAUCAGUAGCCGACCUGAAAGGGUGACCGGCCACAUUGGGACUGAGACACGGCCCAAACUCCUACGGGAGGCAGCAGUGGGGAAUAUUGCACAAUGGGCGCAAGCCUGAUGCAGCGACGCCGCGUGAAGGAUGAAGUAUUUCGGUAUGUAAACUUCUAUCAGCAGGGAAGAAAAUGACGGUACCUGACUAAGAAGCCCCGGCUAACUACGUG